CCUUUAUGAAAUAAUAAAAAUAUAUACAUAUUUUGUAAUUAUUAGCCAUAUUAACAUGGCUGUCGAGAGAUUUCGUUCACCGGCCGGACGACCCGAUAGUCGGGAUCGAAACUUUAUAGCAUGGAGGCAGUAGAGGUCUCCUCAAGAGAUGGAAUCGCUCUCCCUCUUACUAUUGUUGCAACUGACCCCUGCAAGAGCGAGGCUUCGGACGACAACCCACCCCAAGGGCUACUUUUGCAUAUUGAGGGGGUUAAAGGAUGAUCUGCAUACUAUGGUAGUCUAUUAUUACUGUUUAUGCGAUUGGAGGCAAACGAGCAGACAGGUCGCCUGAUGGUAAGCGAUCACCGCCGCCCAUGGACACCACCAGCCAAAAAUACCCUAAACUUACUUAACUUUAAGGUUACUUACGUAGGUAAACAGGAACACAGGUACCUACUCUACUACAGAAAAAAAAAAUGAAUAAACAAAUCAUAAUUAUCAUAAUAAAUUAGGUCUAUGCUAUUCCUACAAUUUAAGAUAAUUG